AGCUACACCGGAUGAAGAGGAAAUUGAUGACACUCUUACACUUGGCUGGGACAGUGAUCUUUCAUCCAUUAUCCUCCUCCUCCACCUGAUACCUCCUUCAGCCCAAGGCCGGAGAAGACCAGGCAAGGUGUCAGCAGCCCAAGCUGAGAAACAACUUGUCGUGUUCAAGAAGAGUGGAACAAGUAUUCAAGAACAUGUUGAUGCAAUCAAAUGCACCACUAAACCGUAUCUUCUUGCUGUUGGGAUGAAGAGGAGCACCAUCCAUGAGUUCUUCAUUAUUCUGGACAAGCAGGUCAUACCGUGCAAGUCAUCCAGUACCCUAGGAGCUUUUGACGAACUCUUUAAAGCACACUUUGUAUUUGGUACCAUGUACAACCAGAUGCUCCACAACAUGUUCACCUUCAUUCAGACAACCAUUUACAACAUAGAUAUUGGUCAAGUCCGGGAGAACCCACGUGUUGCUGAGGUUAGGGCCAGGCUGCUGCACUAGUUAAUAGAUGACUCCAGGUUGGCAACAUAUUUGUCACUUUUCACUAAAAGCUCUUCUAUCUGUAUUUUGAGUGAUUUUCCCAUGUCACUCAGUCUUAAUUGAUAUCAUGGGCCUGAUUUGUUUUGUUUGCCACUCUCAUUUUGUGGGAACCAAUGCCCUUGUGAGGCAUUUGCGGUUGAUUCAUGGUUUAUAUCCAGGUAAAUCACUUCGCCUAAAAUGUGCUCAGGGAGGAUGUUGUCGUGUUCUUAGUUCCUUUUCAGGUUUCAGGAAACAUUUAAACUGUAAACAUGCUGAGAACAUUGAGAAUGAAGCUGAAACUGAUAACAUUGUAGACAGUUAUGAUGCAACAGAUGAU